CAGCCGCCGCGGUAAUACGUAGGUGGCAAGCGUUGUCCGGAAUUAUUGGGCGUAAAGCGCGCGCAGGCGGAUCAGUCAGUCUGUCUUAAAAGUUCGGGGCUUAACCCCGUGAGGGGAUGGAAACUGCUGAUCUAGAGUAUCGGAGAGGAAAGUGGAAUUCCUAGUGUAGCGGUGAAAUGCGUAGAUAUUAGGAAGAACACCAGUGGCGAAGGCGACUUUCUGGACGAAAACUGACGCUGAGGCGCGAAAGCCAGGGGAGCGAACGGGAUUAGAUACCCGGGUAGUCCCUGUCUCUUAUACA
rnacentral:rRNA from 1 species